AUCAGUUAUAGUUUAUUUGAUAGUGCAACCUACUCGGAUAACCGUAGUAACACUAGAGCUAAUACGUGCGUAAAUCCCGACUUUCGGAAGGGACGUAUUUAUUAGAUUGAUGGCUAACCGGGCUUGCCCGACCAGCGGUGAAUCAUGGUAACUUGACGGAUUGCAUGGCCCCAGUGCCGGCGACGUGUCAUUCAAGUUUCUGCCCCAUCAGGUUUCGACUGUAGUGUAUUGGACUACAGUGCCUAUAACGGGUAGCGGAGGAUUAGGGUUCGAUUCCGGAGAGGGAGCCUGAGAAACGGCUACCACAUCCAAGGAAGGCAGCAGGCGCGCAAAUUACCCAAUCCCAAUUCAGGGAGGUAGUGACAAGAAAUAACAAUGCGGAGCUUUUUGUUCUGCAAUUGAAAUGAGUACAAUUUAAACCACUUAACGAGUAUCAAUUGGAGGGCAAGUCUGGUGCCAGCAGCCGCGGUAAUUCCAGCUCCAAUAGCGUAUAUGUAAGUUGUUGCGAUUAAAAAGCCCGUAGCUGAACCUCGGGCAGCCCUGAUGGUCCGCCUAUGGUGAGUACUGUCGUGGGCUGUCUUUCUGCUACGCGCUGUAUCUCGGCGUUUACUCGCCGGGAACAGAGCUUAGCAAGGUUACUUUGAGUAAAAUAGAGUGUUCAAAGCAAGCAUGCGCUCUGAAUACACUAGCAUGGGAUAACACGACAUGACCGAUGGUCUAUCUUGUUGGCCUGUAGACCCGUUGGUAAUGGCAAAUAGGGACGGCCGGGGGUAUCGGUAUUCCGUUGUCAGAGGUGAAAUUCUUGGAUUUGCGGAAGACCAACUACUGCGAAAGCAUUUACCAAGGACGCUUUCAUUAGUCAAGGACGAAAGUCGGGGGAUCGAAGACGAUUAGAUACCGUCGUAGUCUCGACCAUAAACGAUGCCAAUUAGGGAUUGGAGGGCGGAUUAAAUAUGCCUCCUCCAGCACCUUCCGCGAAAGCAAAAUUUAUGGGCUUCGGGGGGAGUAUGGUCGCAAGGCUGAAACUUAAAGGAAUUGACGGAACGGCACCACCAGGCGUGGAGCCUGCGGCUUUAAUUUGACUCAACACGGGAAAACUUACCAGGUCCAGACAGAAGUAGGAUUUACAGAUUGAUAGCUCUUUAAAGAUUUUUUGGAUGGUGGUGCAUGGCCGUUCUUAGUUCGUGGAUUGAUUUGUCAGGUUGAUUCCGGUAACGGACGAGACCCCAACCUACUAACUAGCUCUGCGUGAUUCUCAGGCAGGCAGCUUCUUAGAGGGACUCUCGGAUUGAAACCGAAGGAGGUGGGGCAAUAACAGGUCUGUGAUGCCCUUAGAUGUCCUGGGCCGCACGCGCGCUACACUGAUGCGUUCAACGAGCCUACCCUGUGCCGAGAGGUAUGGGUAAUCUGCGAAAGCGCAUCGUGAUGGGGCUAGAUUAUUGCAAUUAUUGAUCUUCAACGAGGAAUGCCUAGUAAGCGCGAGUCAUCAACUCGCGUUGAUUACGUCCCUGCCGUUUGUACACACCGCCCCGUCGCUCCUACCGAUUG
rnacentral:rRNA from 1 species